GGCAGCCCUCCCAUUUCCCCCCUUCCAGUCGAAAAUUAGUGCCCUUUUGGGGCUGUGACCCCUGCGCUUCUUCUUCCCCAUGAACCUCUUCACCUUCCUUCUCUAGAUCCUUCUUUGGUAGGCUAUUUAAAGAGCCCUUGGUCUGUGGCUGUAGGGUAGACGAAAAUUGCUUAGUGUUCUUCCUUUGUGUGGAGGUGCUACCGGUGAAGGUGUAAGGCUUGUUGGCCGAUUGUGGUGCCGGCGAGAGCAACGUCCCCUUUGUGAUUCUUCGUGGCUUAGUGUGUGCGUGAUCGAGAGGAAGAGAGCUGUACCUGAGCCGAGAAGAUCGACGCCCCUUGUUCCUCUCUUUGUGUGUUUUUCUUUGCAGGUUGUCGAGGCUGCUGCUACCUCGUUGCUGCGCCGCUGUGCAACUGCUGUUUUGUGGCUUUGUAGCUGCGCUGUGGCUGCCCAAAGUCGAAGAAAGCCUUCAUCAACGACGACGAGGGUCGAUACUCAACAGUGGUAUCAGAGCCACGGUUGACCUCGUCGUCGCAUUGGUAAGUCGGGGUCCUGACCUUAGGAUCCCGCUCUGGUAAAGCGGCUUAAACCUCUCUUGUUUUUCAAUUUCUAGUUGCUGCCAUCUGGUGCAGUUUAGGCUUGGUGCUUAUCUGCUGGUAGAUAUCUAGGAUUCGUGUGUCGAAUUCUGUUUUCUGAUUUAAUUAUUUUUUCGCUGUUACUAUUCACGUGAAUAGUGAUUUCGUGAAUAGUGUUUUUGGUCUCUUAUUUUUACUUCCGCUGUAAACUCUGUGGUUGUCAAUCUUUGUGAGUCUUUGUGAUUAUUUGCUUCGUGUUGCGAUGUCUUCUUUGGCAAAUUAUGGUUUAGCUCCUUUUAAUGGUAAAACGGACUUCGGUUUUUGACAGCAGAAAAUGGAAUGUAUUUUAAUUCAACAAAAUGUUUAUCAAGUAAUUGAUGAUUCGUAUGAUGAAGAUGUUGAUGAGAAAAAGAAAACUCAAUUGAAUCGUCUUGCCUUGUCUGCUAUUGUUCUCAACUUGUCUGAGUGUGUUCUUAGAAAAGUAGGGAGAAUGACUUCUGCUAAAGAACUAUGGUCUAAGUUAGAGGAGUUGUACACUGGAACCUCGUUGCCGUCUAAGAUAUUUUUGAUUGAAAGGUUUUUCCGUUUCAAACUUGAUUUGAAUAAGAAAAUUGAUGAAAAUGUUGAUGAAUUCACUAAGUUAGUUCAAGAUAUAAAACUGACGGGUGAUAAACAUAUUGAUGAGUAUGCUCCGUAUGCUCUUUUAAAUGCUAUUCCUGACUCUUACAUUGAUGUUAAAUCUGCUAUUAAGUAUGGUAGAGAUAAUGUGACGCUUGACACUGUUGUGAGUGCUUUAAAGAAUAAGGAAUUAGAUUUAAAUUCUAAUAUUUGUGUUCAAGAACCGGACAAAGUCAUGCAUGUUAGGGGUGAAAAGAGAUUUAAUGAUAAGUCUAAUCAUAGAUAUAAGACCUAGGAAGUGCUAUAACUGUGGUGAAACUGGUCACUAUAUUAAGGAUUGUCCUCACCCUAAGAAAAACAAGAUGUAGAGCAUGCUAAUGUAAUUGGUAAUGAAACCAAUAGUGAUGUGUUCUAAGGUGGAGCUCUUUCUUAAUGCCUUAGUGUUGUUCUUUGUGAUUGUUUAGGCUUUGUGGCUUAGUGAGACUUCGUUGGUUAGUGCCUUAAUGACUAUGUGAGUCUUUGUGGCUUAGUGUCUUUGUGAUUGAUUAGUAGCUUUGUGUCUAUGUGGCUUUGUGAGUUUUACUUUGUGAUGACCGUUUGUGUCGNCCGAUUGUGGUGCCGGCGAGAGCAAGUCCCCUUUGUGAUCUUCGUGGCUUAGUGUGUGCGUGAUCGAGAGGAAGAGAGCUGUACCUGAGCCGAGAAGAUCGACGCCCCUUGUUCCUCUCUUUGUGUAUUUUUCCUUGCAGGUUGUCGAGGCUGCUGCUACCUCGUUGCUGCGCCGCUGUGCAGCUGCUGUUUUGCGGCUUUGUAGCUGCGCUGUGGCUGCCCAAAGUCGAAGGAAGCCUUCAACAACGACGACGAGGGUCGAUACUCAACAGGUUUCGUGAAAAUGAGCAGGAACGCGCAAAAUCUCCGGUGAUUGAGGAAAAAAGGGAGGGCUCGGAGGAUUUGGUGAAUUACUUCAUGUACUCGGUUGCAAUUGAUGGGGAUUCCGCUGAAAUUAGCGAUCUUGUCGAGGAUUAUCAGGUGGGU
rnacentral:lncRNA from 1 species